rnacentral:rRNA from 1 species
UACGAAGGGUGCAAGCGUUAGUCGGAAUUACUGGGCGUAAAGCGUGCGUAGGCGGUUUCUUAAGUCUGCCGUGAAAGCCCCGGGCUCAACCUGGGAAUGGCGGUGGAUACUGGGAAGCUGGAGUGCGGUAGAGGAGGGUGGAAUUCCCGGUGUAGCGGUGAAAUGCGUAGAUAUCUGGAGGAACACCGGUGGCGAAGGCGGCAUCCUGGACCGGUAUUGACGCUGAUGAGCGAAAGCUAGGGGAGCAAACGGG